rnacentral:rRNA from 1 species
GACGAACGCUGGCGGCGUGCUUAACACAUGCCAGUCGAACGGACAGGUCCUGCUCUUGUGGGGUUCUCGAGUGGCGAACGGGUGAGUAUCACGUGAGUAACCUGCCCUUGACUUUGGGAUAACUUCAGGAAACUGGGGCUAAUACCGGAUAGGAGCUCCUGCUGCAUGGUGGGCGUUGGAAAGUUUCGGCGGUUGGGGAUGGACUGGCGGCUUAUCAGCUUGUUGGUCUGGUAGUGGCUUACCAAGGCUUUGACGGGUAGGCGGCCUGAGAGGGUUGCCGGCCUCAAUGGGACUGAGAGAGGGAGCAGACGCCAACGGGAGGCAGCAGUGGGGAAUAUUGCGCAACGGGGGAAAGCGUGAGAUGGCAGUGCUGGGUGCGGGAUGCCGUCCUUCGGGUUAAAAACCGAUUUCGAAUGUGACGAAGCCUGAGUGACGGUAAUGGGUAAAGAAGCACCGGCUAACUACGUG